GACGGAGGGUGCUAGCGUUUUUCGGAAUUACUGGGCGUAAAGGGCGCGUAGGCGGCCAUUUAAGUCGGAUGUGAAAGCCCGGGGCUCAACCCGGGAACGGCGGUUGAGACUGUCUGUCUUGAGUUCGGGAGAGGAGGGUGGAAUUGCCAGUGUAGAGGUGAAAUUCGUAGAGAUUGGGAAGAACACCGGUGGCGAAGGCGGCUCACUGGACCGACACUGACGCUGAGGCGCGAAAGCGUGGGGAGCAAACAGG
rnacentral:rRNA from 1 species